AUGAGGUAAAAAGAAACUGCUUGAAUUAGCUGCCAUCCUAACAUCCUUGAAGAUGAAAGCUACUUCGCUCUAACAAUGCUGGACAAUAGUCAGCGAGGAAACUCAACCUCCACAAUAUUACAUGCAUUAACCAUCAACGGAAGUCAAGCCAUUAGGGGUAUGUUAACAGGGCCGGCUGACGCACCUAAUUUGUUUACUUUUUGGAAAUCAAAGAAAGAUUUUAACUCGCGGUAAACAUUUAGCGGCCAAACUUCAUUUACUGGUGAGAGAGGACAACGUCUCGCUAAAGAAUCGCAAAGAUUCAACUACUCUACAGUAACUGACCACAAACGACAUUUUCAAAAAAGAAACUGAAUAUCAUGGAUAGAGUAACUCUUCUUUCUGUUGUAAUUAUCUGGAUAAUGGUAAUGAAUCUCACUCAAGAACACAAAGCAAAUGCAAACUGCACGACGAAUUGGCGUAAAAGACUCCUACGACGCUGCAAUGAUCGCAAAAGAGGGAAAGUGAAUGCUGAAUUUUUGAAAGAUCAACUUUCAAGCAUGGACAGCGGAAGUAAUGAACAUGGUAAUGACGAUCGAAAUUUUGGCGAGAGACGGAAGUUUCUUACGAGAGAGGCAUAGCUUAAAGUGAAGAACGAACAUUUCCAUAUUCUGUCAUAAUUAUAAUCAACAUAUCGUGGAAGCUCACAGUUAAAAUUCCGCAACAUAACUUGCUUGAACAUUUGUUUGUUUAGAAGCUAUUAUAUACUGUUAGUUGUGCAAAAUUAUUAAAAUUGUUUUCUUUGCGAAUGAAAUUGUCUUUUUUUAAUACCUAAAUUUUUAGUCUCUUUCUUAUUUUAAACAAUGUUCAUCCCGUCUCGGGUAUAAGCGGGCUGUUUUGUCUACCAUUGAUAUAAAAGGGCGCGAUUUUAGUCACCAGUCCUCUCAGCUGCCUAUAGUUGUGUAAUAAAAGGAAACGACUUUUGGACGCGACCUCUUCGAUCAGAGACGUAUUUUUAAACAGAAACAAGCCUUCAAUAUAAAAUUUAGUCUCUAAAUUAUCCUUUUCUUGAGAAAAUCCUUUUCGGAAUGAAUCUAAGGGCCGGCUCAAGAAGCCGAACUUCAUUCUCGACCCCGUAGUCUUCGCUUCUCUUAGCCGUCGGGGCCCGCUGGCUAAGAGAAACGAAGGCUACG